UGAGGAAUAUUGGUCAAUGGGCGAGAGCCUGAACCAGCCAAGUAGCGUGCAGGAUGACGGCCCUAUGGGUUGUAAACUGCUUUUAUAUGGGAAUAAAGUGAGGGACGUGUCCCUUAUUGCAUGUACCAUACGAAUAAGGACCGGCUAAUUCCGUGCCAGCAGCCGCGGUAAUACGGAAGGUCCAGGCGUUAUCCGGAUUUAUUGGGUUUAAAGGGAGCGUAGGCUGUUUGUUAAGCGUGUUGUGAAAUGUAAGAGCUCAACUUUUAGAUUGCAGCGCGAACUGGCAGACUUGAGUGCGCACAACGUAGGCGGAAUUCAUGGUGUAGCGGUGAAAUGCUUAGAUAUCAUGACGAACUCCGAUUGCGAAGGCAGCUUACGGGAGCGCAACUGACGCUAAAGCUCGAAGGUGCGAGUAUCGAACAGG
rnacentral:rRNA from 1 species